AUUAAAUAACAAUAACAAUAAUAAUAAUAAUAUUAAUAUUGUUAUUAUUAGUAAGGUACAUAUUUAAUACCCACUCGUGAUGUGUGCCGUAGUUACUGUUCACCUUCUCCUUCAUCCAAAGAACGCUAGCCGUCGCCAAAAUCUCUAUCGUUCUCAUCUCCAUCCAUUCCUUCCGUCAGCAGCCGCACGUCGGUAGUUAACCACAGACAAGCCUCUUGGUUCUUCAAUAGCCCAGGCGUCGUGUGUCCGUUGCUGAAGCCAGCCGUCGUUUAUGCCUCACAAGCGACUGAGGCGUCCUCUGCCAUCGAACGUCGCCGCUGUCGUCGGGAUUACCUUCGUCGCAUCAUCUAAAUCGGAGUCGGUUAGUCAAUGACACCUUCGAGCCGCACACGUGUAAGUAAUCCGAGCUGCCCUCCUUACGAAGCCGAGCCACGAUUUCCUCAUAGAGUCGCGUGAGCCGCGAACGAAUUGCGCGAGCCGUCUCUGUUCUCCAAGCCGCAUGCGUGCUCCUUCCUUCUCCACGAGCUGCGUGCCGAGCCUAUUGUUUUGUCGAGCCGUCCCCUGUUUUGAAAUCAGUUUUGAUAAUUUUUUGCUUAGUUUUGAUUGGGUUUGGUGCCCCUAUUAAUUACCUACUUUGUCCCAAAUAAGUUAGGUAUGGAUUUAAAUUGAUUUAUGUUUCUCGAAGGUUAAAGCAUAACUUGAGGAAAUGAGACUCUGAAUUGUUCCAAUUAAGGUUGUGUUGGAUAGACUUGAUUGCUUAAUUAAACAAUAGGGUGAUAGUUGACAAAAUAAUUGAUUUUAAUUUUGUUCAUGUUUAGGACUGACUCUUGGAAGGAGUUGACUGUCAACCAGUGAACUAUUACCUUUAACAAAUCUCCAGGGUGAUUUCUUCGGGUUCACCGAGAGUGCAAAUGUGUCCCUACAGGACCACCGGAUAGUAUGCGUUCGGGAGAGCAAUAGUAUGCAGUACCAUGUUACAGGGCUCUAACGAGAGGUUAACAGACACAUAGUGAGACUAAUAUGAGUCUCUUACUUAGUAUAAAUUUAUACUCACUCUUUUAAAUGUUUAAUUUUCAAGUAAGUGUAGAGGCAAGGGCAAGCUGGCGAAUGAUAAGAAAUGACCGUGGAUUGCCAUAGAGAAUAGUUCAGUUUUCUUCCGCAUUUAUAUUUUAGUAAUUAUAUUUUCAAAGGUUUAUUUUAGAACUCGAGUUCAAUUACUUUAACAAUUACUUUAAGUAUUUCUUCUA